rnacentral:lncRNA from 1 species
CCCUUCACUCCCGCCUGUAUCCGUGCCUGUUACCUGGACGCCUUGUGGAACUUGAAUUCUACGCCCUCCACUGGGACACUGCCCUUCAUCCUCUCUCACCUCCUCCAGGACAACAAAUGUUGUAGUCCUCAUCAUCAGCAGAGACUUUGUGCCAUCCUCUGCUAUAUUAUCCUGAAGAGUGCCUGGCUCAUGCUGCAGUGUUCUGAAUAGCAGUCCAGCUAUGAGGGGAGGUGCCCGUGGCAGGCCUCAGCUGACCCUGGAGAGGCCAUUAAGACCUGGCUGUCGCCUCCACAGCUGCUCGGAGGCAGGUGUUCAAUAAAUGACAGACGCUACCAUCACAGAUUACCAAUGUUACAAAACUGUAAACAGAGAAAGGUGGCUUUGUAAGAAGAAAAGAGAUCAUUCUUUUUCCACCAUGUGAGGACCCAGCAAGAGGGUGGCUGUCUGCAAACCCAGGGAGAGAGCCCUCACCAGGAAUCUGCUGGCACCUUAAUCUUGGACUUCCCAGCCUCCACAACUGUGAGGAAUAAAUGUAUGUUGUUUAAGCCA